rnacentral:rRNA from 1 species
GCGCAGCAGGCGCGAAAAUUUUGCAAUGCGCGCAAGCGUGACAAAGUCAUCCCGAGUGCCACCCGCUGAGGGUGGCUUUUCUACAGUCUAAAAAGCUGUGGGAAUAAGGGGAGGGUAAGUCGGGUGUCAGCCGCCGCGGUAAUACCCGCUCCCCGAGUGGUGGGGGCUUUUACUGAGCUUAAAGCGCCCGUAGCCGGUCAUGCGUGUCUCCAGUUAAAUCCAGCAGCCUAACUGCUGGGCCGCUGGAGAUACUGUAUGACUUGGAGGCGGGAGAGGCUACCGGUAGUCCCGGGGUAGGAGUGAAAUCCUCUGAUCCCGGGAGGACCACCAGUGGCGAAGGCGUCCGGCCAGAACGCGCCCGACGGUGAGGGACGAAAGCUGGGGGAGCGAACCGGAUUAGAUACCCCUGUAGUCC